rnacentral:lncRNA from 1 species
AUGGACCGUGCGGCGGCCAGCGCACAUGCUGGCUCAACCUCCUGGACACUCCGCAGCGCCUCGACCCCAGUGCCUCGGCUUGUUUCUCAUCCCCACAGUUUCCUGGGAUCAACCACAAAGCCUCAACUGCCACAAAGAGGGGAAACCAGCCCCUCCCCCAACAAGACCGCCAGGGGUGGGGAAGGGCACGGAGCAGCCCCUCCCCGGCUGCGGGCCAGGAGCAAACACCUGGGACUUCAUCUUUUGUAUUUUCCUGGAGAGGGGAAGACCAGUUUGUGUCUGCUGAGAUCUCAGCCGGUGCCCGGAACUCAGAGGCGGGGACGGAGGCGACAGCCCCUCCUAAGUCCUCCAUGGCAUGAAGGACACAGAAGCAUCUCUGCCAAGGACGCUGACCCCGGUGUGGGCCCCUGGCACGAGCCAGUCAGCUUCUGCUUCCCACCUGCGCUGGAGCCUGGGGCCCAACCUGGCCAUGUGGGAAGGGGAGGUCCCUCCACAGCCUGCGGCCAAGCCAGUGAUCCCACCCAGAACGGUGCAGGGCCUGGCUCAGGUGGACACGGCUUCAGGCCCCCAGGUCAGCCCCAUCGGAGGCUCUGUGUGCGGCCUGGUGUCCCUGGCUGUCCACUAACGCCAAAGGCUUCCCCUGGAGGAUGCUUUGGGUUCACCCCCGGGGACCUCCCAUGGGCUCCCGGGCCCUUAGGGGCAUCUGUGUUGCCUGCUGGGAAUUGGGCUGACGCUCUUAGGAAAGUUUGCUGUUUGUUGGGUCUAGAGAGCCCCGAGAGAGAGCAAGGCUUGGCUGAAGGGUCCCUGGGUUUGGGCCUCCGCCCCGGUGCCUGCAGGCAGGGUCUAGGUGCCGGGAUCUCUGUCUCAGGGCCCAGGGGACAGCUGAGAGGAGCUGAGCAGAGCAUGGGCCUCCCCCUGGUUUUCAGCCCCUCGACACCUGUCUACAGGGGUGCUGGCGGGCAUCUCUCUGGGCUGAGGGGUUUGUGUCAGUGCCCAGGCCCCGGGGGGCAAACGCCAACAUUCCCUAUUCCUAAAGCAGGGUCUGGCUGGGUUUGUUUGCCAGGAGCUUUGAGACCAGAAUAG